rnacentral:rRNA from 1 species
UACGGGGGGAGCAAGCGUUGUUCGGAUUUACUGGGCGUAAAGGGCGCGUAGGCGGUCGUGACAAGUCACUUGUGAAAUCUCCGGGCUUAACUCGGAACGGUCAAGUGAUACUGUCGUGCUAGAGUACAGAAGGGGCAACUGGAAUUCUCGGUGGUAGCGGUGAAAUGCGUAGAUAUCGAGAGGAACACCUGCGGCGAAGGCGGGUUGCUGGGCUGAUACUGACGCUGAGGCGCGAAAGCUAGGGGAGCAAACGGG